GUAAAGCACUUAAUUUCAAAAUUUCCUAUGCAUGAAGGGUUGUUUCAUGCACUAGUAUUUAUUUUGGGGUUUAGGGCUUAGAAAGGACUUGAGAAAACUGAGGAUAUUGGCAGAAGCUCUCUUGGAGUGCUCUUUUGAACUCUGUAUCUCUUGGAUGUGUCCUUGAGUGGUGAGUCUUUUGCUUUCAGUUCUGUAUCCUUGUUUAUUGUCAUUAGGGUGGUGAUCUUUCUGUAUCCCUUUUGAUUUUAAACUUGGUGGUGAGCUAUUUUUCGUUUUACCGAAGUUUCUUCAAGAGUUCGUUCCUUGCCUUUUAUGACAUUUUCUAUCUGAACAACUAUUAUAUUGGUGUUCUUUCGAAAUCCAUUCUGCAUUUUUACCCCACCACCCCCCCCCCCCCCCAAUAUCACUUUCUAUCUCCCUUUCAACUCUAACAUGAAACUCUUUGAAGACAUUAAUAACCUGAUCUUUGGUCUUCAAAGCAUAGGCCUAAACUUUCCUAGAAAAAUUAUAUAUAAAAGUGAUAAAAUAAAGUGCACAACUGAUACCAGGAACAUUCACAGAUCCACCAGGAGUUUUUAUCCUCAAAGGACCAUAUACAUCUGUAUAAAUACGGUCUAAGACAUGUAUUUUUCUGGACAAAGCAGGACUAACAAAUGAAACUCUAUAUUAUUUACUAGCCAAACAAUCAAUACAAGGGUUCAAACGUGUACCUCUGAGAUCUAACAAUACCUCUAUCUUGGAAAUAGCUUACAGCCUCUUCUCGCUCAUGUGUCUUAGUCGCCUAUACCACAACUCUAUGCUGAAGUCUUUCUCUGUAGUAUUUAACUGCUCACCACAAGCUUUGGCCUGCAACCUGUACAAAGUGUGACAUUUCUUUCCACUAUCCAUAAUAAAAGAACUCUUACUAAGCUUACACUGCCCUCUGUGAAAUCUGCUAUCAUAGUCUUCCAACUGAAAUUAAAUUCAACCUCAAGUCAAUCACAUGUCUCAUAUCCUUAAGCACCAACUUAUAGCUAAGAUUGAUUUUUAUAUGGAUAUCACUUAUGUCAAUGAUGCCUCCUAUGCCAUAGUUGCCCAUCUUAACAACACCAAAAUUUUCAUACCUAUAGGUAGCAAAAAACUCCCUUCAUAGUGUAACAUGAUAAAAAGCACCUAUGUCAAUUAUUCACUUAAGAUCCUGACACACACAAGAAAAAAUAUCAUUAGAAGGAGACAAAAUCAAAUAAUCACCACCCUACACUGUAACUGUAAUAUUAUCUUUUGACUCUGAAGACUCCACUUAUUUUUUCUUUUUCUUGCUCUUCUUAGGUUGCUAACGUUCUUGUAAUAUCCUUUCUCACCAUAAUUAUACCAAAUAAUAUCUUUUCUUGAUAUUUACUUGCUUCUACAUGCGUGAAUUGCUUCUAUUCUUAGACAUUGAUAUUUUUUUGUUCUCUGAGAUAAGUGCAUGUGAAUCAUUCUAAGAUGCUGCUGAAUUAUUUCUUCUCCACUCCUCAUUCAACAAAAUGCUUGUUGCUUGACUCAUUAUGACAACACCAUCUGGUGCAAAAUUACUAAGGGAAACUAUCAGUGUCUCCUAACUUUCUAGCAAAGAACUGAGAAAUAACAAUACUUGUAACUCAUCAUCAAGAGACAUUUUUAUAGAGGAUAACUGGUUAGUGAUACUCUGCAUUUCAUUCAAAUGCUUAGCAAUAGAAACACCCUCUUUAUAUUUUAGGUUCAUAAGUUUUCUGAUUAAGAAAGCUUUGUUGUCGGUUGCUUUUCUUUCAUAGAGACCUUCCAACUUUUUCCAAAGAGAAUAUGCAAAACUUUCAGUAGAAACAUGGUGAAAGACACUGUCAUCGAGUCAUUGUCGAACAAACCCGACUAUUUUUUUAUCUAACCUCUUCCACUCAUCAUCUGUCAUAGUUGUUGGCUUUGCACUAUCCCUCUGCAAAGGUUCAUACAAAUCUUUGCAAUACAAGAGAUCUUUCAUUAUUGAUUUUCAUAUCAUCCAAUUGUUUCCAUUCAAGUAAAUAAUACGAGAAAUACUACCAGCCUCCAUGUUCAAACACAAAAAUUAAAUCACCAAUACCCUACUCUGAUACUAGUUGAUUGGAUAUAAAGGGAAAUAAACUUUGUAUAGGAACAAAUACUAGUAGGCCGUAACACGCAGUAAAAUUAAAUGAAAAUCACAAUCAAAUAGGACACCAAAAUUUACGUCGAAAACCCCUCCAAUGUAAAGGGUAAAAACCACGGGGCAAACUAGAGAUAAUCCACUAUAAGAAUGAUAAAUAUAUAAAUCUCAAUCUUUUGCCCAAAACCCAAGCAACAAUCUCAAGAGAAUCACUAGGAUACAAGGAUUAUGUCACUGUGCACAAUAUCCAAAUUCUCCUCAAGUAAUCACAACAAAAAUCUAUUAUAGAUCUGAUCUAACAUGAGAUGAAAACACUACCUAGAUGAUUGAGAACAAUCUCUCUGUGUUGUCCUUGUCUUCUUCUCUUUCUUUCUCUUAUUUUUCUACCUUUUUCUUCUCAUUUUUUUUAAUCAAGUUGCUAUAGUUUUUCCCUUAUUUUCGCAAGCACCACACCCCCCUUAAUAGAUCUAGGGUUAGGUUAAAAGAGGGGUAGGCUACGGGCUAUUAAAACCCACUAUGAACUGUUAAAGCCCAUUAUGGGCUGAACUUAUGAGCUAUCAGUCCAACAGUCAAUGUUGAGACUGUAUGCUGCAGAUCGAAGCUCACGAGAAAGGAAAUCGGUAGAGAGAGGGAGAUGAACUAAAGCUAAUAUCUCUCUCCUUUUCUUUUCACCGUCUCCUUCAAUCUUCUGGGAACCAAAAUGUCAGAAUGAUUUAUGUUUACUGAUGGAGCAUAUUCCUUCUCCACCCCUGCUCUAACAGUCAACAGUCACAUCAGCACCAACAUGGAGUCUCGAGACUGACAUGGCAUGCCUCGAACUCGGAUGAGGCGGCCACCCGCUUCCAUGCCAUCCGAGGCUAUAUAGGAUGAUGUCACGCAGCACACGAUAGCCUCGGAAAGCUCAAAACAAUGUCGCAUGAUGUAAAUCCAUACAUAUCGACAAGCGCCCGCAUGGAGGGUACGAGCCACUCUGAAAGCUUGAGACGAUGACGAUUCGUGCAAGUCAAACAUCACUCCUAUAGUGGGUAUGAGUCGACCAAUCGAGGUGUCGACGACCAUUAACAGUGAUCAACUUUCAUUCACCAACAUAAAAGCCGACCUCUUGUCCAACAACGAAGUCGGACUGGAACACCUGAACUCCUAAUUUUACUCAAUAUUGACUUUAGUUUCGAAGAGAUCGAGUCACAUAAUCCCCCUCUUGACCUCGGCCUUUGUGUAGGUGUUCAGUGAAAGAGGUGUAGCAACCUGAUCAAAGGAUGAAGAUUGUGUGCUCCAGAAGCUCGGACCUGACCAUCACCUCUUGGGAGAUCUAUCGGCCACAGCUUAAGGUUCCCCGAAACUUACGGUUGGUAUCAUUUCAUUCAAUGGCACGUCAGUACGUGGUGGGGGGGAGAUUUCUUAGAGCAGAGUAUCGGGUGAGACAGGGAACACGAAAUGCCCCGCUCGCAUAAGCGGUUACCCCACACCAACUCGGUCGAUGUGCCUUGCGAGAACGACGGAAAAGUCGUACUUUGGCGCAGCCCAAACAGGUGAUCCUCCAAUCCUGCUUGUUCUCUGGUCAGGUUUGCCCGUCGUCAACGACGCUUCUCCGUAAGAUGCCAAAGGAGAAGAUAAUGCCAGCUCGCUGGAGAUGAAAGGGAAGUAGGAAAGAAAUGUGCAGAUCACAAGACAAUGUGAACUGAUAACUAUAGAAAAAGUCUUGAUACGACCACCCACCAACUCUUCGACGAGGUUGUUCGCUUCAAAGACGUAAGGCACAUCAAUAACUCAUCUGAGGAUGAGCUAUGGAUCCAACAGAUUGUAUCUUCUAUUUGUUCUUUUCUUACCAUUCCAUCAUGGAAGGAAUAUUCCACUUCCAUGCAUGGAUUUCCUGUAGAAUUUAGAGGACACAAGCUGCAAGAAGAUUGUGCUUUGAAGAAGAACAACUUAUACAUGUAACCUAACUGAAAACUUGCAAGAAGCAGGACAUCCCAUGAACCACAUCAAGGUGCAACCAUGAACCACAUCAUACCCACCGCCACCAGGGCACCCAUCUUUGUCACGUUGGGAGAGUUGGGGAGCAUCACCGGCAGCAACAUGAUGACCAUUCCAGUGAUCCACAGCAGGUACAUGCCGAAGAGAUAGCCAGGGGAGACGGGCUCGGCGUCUGCCGACGAGCCGACCUUCUUGACGGCAUCCAUGAUAGUGCUGGAGGACGACGCCAUCAUCGAGAAACCGAGCCAGCUGAGAACCCACCGCUCUCCGCGGGGAUGGAGACGUGGCCAUGGACGAACUCCGAUUCCGUUCAUGAAUGGCGCAGCGCCUUCCAUCGACGUGUCCACUGCACAAUAGAGAGAGGAGGUUCGUCGACGGUGGUGUUGGUGGAGCGAUUCAAAUCGAGCACUUAAAUAGGGAAGAAGCCGAGGCGGGAAGUGUGGCUCAACGAAGCUUCCUUCUCUGUCGACGCGGC
rnacentral:lncRNA from 1 species